GACGAACGCUGGCGGCGUGCCUAAUACAUGCAAGUCGAGCGGACUUCUUCGGAGGUCAGCGGCGGACGGGUGAGUAACACGUGGGCAACCUGCCUGUAAGACUGGGAUAACACCGGGAAACCGGUGCUAAUACCGGAUAAUCCUUUUCCUCACAUGAGGGGAAGCUGAAAGACGGCAUCUCGCUGUCACUUACAGAUGGGCCCGCGGCGCAUUAGCUAGUUGGUGGGGUAACGGCCCACCAAGGCGACGAUGCGUAGCCGACCUGAGAGGGUGAUCGGCCACACUGGGACUGGGACACGGCCCAGACUCCUACGGGAGGCAGCAGUAGGGAAUCUUCCGCAAUGGACGAAAGUCUGACGGAGCAACGCCGCGUGAGCGAAGAAGGCCUUCGGGUCGUAAAGCUCUGUUGUCAGGGAAGAACACGUACCGGAGUAACUGCCGGUACCUUGACGGUACCUGACCAGAAAGCCACGGCUAACUACGUGCCAGCAGCCGCGGUAAAAC
rnacentral:rRNA from 1 species